CUUUCCUGGAGAACUAGGGAACCCUUGCGGCUGGGGACCCCGAGAAGGACGUGGCCGGGACUCAGGGCUGGGAGGAGGCGAGCACCGGGAAACUCUGCCGGGGUGGGGCUGGGGGAUGUCGCGGGCCACCGGGUCUGGUGUCUACAUCUCCUGGCAGAUGUGAAGGAGGCCAAAGGGGGGCGCCCCACCCUUUGCCGCCUGCUUUCUAAUACUCCCUCAGCAUUCUAGAAGAAACACAAAGUCCAACCCCUAUUUGCUCCUGGUCCAGCUGGAAGAUUCAUCCUGGUCUUCAUCUACCUGUGCAAGGUCACACCUGAUGCCCUGCCUAGAAUAGACGACCUCACCUCCAAGGAGUCAGAGGCCUGGGGGGGGCGGGGGUGGUGGUGGUGGUGGUGAGGGGGAUGUGGUGGUGGGGAAGCUGGGUUUUUCUGGAGAACCAGACUUGGCAUGCUUGGAGGUGGACUUUGGGGCUAGAAGCAGGAGGGACUUUCCUGUCCGCCAGGUGCCCAGGGCCUGGGCUCCGCGAUGCCCCCUUUUCACCAAAGCCCAGGAUCCCUGGGUGCUCUGUGGGCACUUUCCCAGGAGAGGGGAGCCGCUGCUGGAAGAACCUCCAUAAGCCGCGGGGCAGCAGUGCCUGGAGGGCACCACCAGGCUGGGGCCUGUGUGCCCUUGGUCGGGCAUGUCGGAGGACUCGACGGAGCACCCACGACCUGCUGGGUUUGGCGUUGGAGGCAAAACUGACAGAGCACAAAGCAGGUUACGGGGAAGACGGAUGAGCUGAGGCUCCUUGAUCUGAAUGUGGGAGCUUUCCUUUGCCAGGUCAGGCUUCACAGAGGGAAGUCCAGCCUGGCCUGAACUCAGGAGGUCACCGUCAGGGGCGGGAACAGCAGAGGCACGGAGACCCAAGCCUCAGUGCUGUGAGGACAAGGGCCAACGGGGUCACCUCACCCCGGCUUUGAUUGCCGGGUGAACUCUCCAGGGAAAGGCCUCUGCUCUCCUGGGGCCCUCCUGGUGGCGCAGAGAUUAAAGCACAGCACUAAGA